rnacentral:rRNA from 1 species
AGAGUUUGAUUCUGGCUCAGGAUGAACGCUAGCUACAGGCUUAACACAUGCAAGUCGAGGGGCAGCAUGACCUAGCAAUAGGUUGAUGGCGACCGGCGCACGGGUGAGUAACACGUAUCCAACCUACCGGUUAUUCCGGGAUAGCCUUUCGAAAGAAAGAUUAAUACCGGAUAGUAUAGCGAGAAGGCAUCUUCUUGUUAUUAAAGAAUUUCGAUAACCGAUGGGGAUGCGUUCCAUUAGUUUGUUGGCGGGGUAACGGCCCACCAAGACAUCGAUGGAUAGGGGUUCUGAGAGGAAGGUCCCCCACAUUGGAACUGAGACACGGUCCAAACUCCUACGGGAGGCAGCAGUGAGGAAUAUUGGUCAAUGGACGAGAGUCUGAACCAGCCAAGUAGCGUGAAGGAUGACUGCCCUAUGGGUUGUAAACUUCUUUUAUAUGGGAAUAAAGUGAGCCACGUGUGGCUUUUUGUAUGUACCAUACGAAUAAGGAUCGGCUAACUCCGUGCCAGCAGCCGC